rnacentral:rRNA from 1 species
UACAGAGGGUGCAAGCGUUGCUCGGAAUCAUUGGGCGUAAAGGGUAGGUAGGUGGUCUCGUUUGUCUGGGGUGAAAGCCCAGGGCUUAACCCUGGAAGUGCCCCAGAAACGGCGAGACUAGAGUAUUGGAGAGGGUCGUGGAAUUCCCGGUGUAGCGGUGAAAUGCGUAGAGAUCGGGAGGAACACCAGAGGCGAAGGCGGCGACCUGGACAAUAACUGACACUCAACUA